GUGCUCGCUUCGGCAGCACAUAUACUAAAACUGGUACAAUACAGAGAAGAUUAGCAUGGCCCCUGCACAAGGAUGACACACAAAUUUGUGAAGCAUUCCAUAUUUUU
ensembl:snRNA U6 U6 spliceosomal RNA